rnacentral:rRNA from 1 species
AUUUUUAAAAUUAUUUUGAUAAAUAAAAAAAAUAUUUUUUAAUUUUAUUAUAAAUUUAGAAAAAAUAAUUUGUAUUAUAAAGAAUUAGUAUUGUGAAAGAAAUUUUUAAAAAAAAAAUAAAAUAAAGAAAAAUUUAUUAUUUGUACCUUGUGUAUCAGGGUUUAUUAAUUAAUUAUUAAAAAUUUAAUUUUCUCGAUUUUAAAAGAGCUAAAAAAUUAUAAAUUUUAUUGUAAAAUAAAUAUUUAAAAUAAUUUUUUUGUAAUGAAACGUUAUUCGUUUUUAAAUAUAUCUAGUUUUUAAAGAAAAGAAUUUAAUUCUAAUUAUUUAUAAUUUUUUUAUAUUUUUAUAAAUAUUGUUAUGUAAAUAAGAAAUAUUUUUAGGGAUGAGCUUAAAAAUAUAAUUUUAAAAAAUAAAAAUUGUAAAAAAAAUGUAGAAUUAAUAAUUUUCAUCAUAAUUAGUUUGUUAUAAUUAAUUUUUUAAUUGUAUGAUUUUAAUUUAUUUUAAAUUAUUUAUUUAAAUUAUUUAUUUAAUAAAAAAUUAAAUGUAAUUAUGAUAAAAUUAGUAUAAUAGUAUUUAUAAAAAAAAAUAAUUUUUAGGUUAAGUUAAGGAAUUCGGCAAUUUUUUUUUUCGCCUGUUUAUUAAAAACAUGUCUUUUUGAUCAUAAUUUAAAGUCUAACCUGCCCACUGAAAUUUAAAUGGCCGCAGUAUUUUGACUGUGCGAAGGUAGCAUAAUAAUUAGUUUUUUAAUUAAAAGCUAGUAUGAAUGGUUGAACGAGAAAAAUACUGUCUCAAUUUAAUUUUAUUAGAACUUUAUUUUUAAGUUAAAAAGCUUAAAUUUUUAUAAAAGACGAGAAGACCCUAUAGAGUUUGACAUUUUAUAAAUAUAAAAUUUUUAGAAAUUUUUAUGUUAUAUUUAAAAAAAUGUUUUGUUGGGGUGAUAGAAAAAUUUUAAAAACUUUUUUUUAAUAAAAUCAUUUAUUUAUGAAUUUUUGAUCCAAUUGUUUUGAUUAAAAGAUUAAAUUACCUUAGGGAUAACAGCGUUAUUUCUUUAAAGAGUUCAAAUCGAAAAAGAAGUUUGCGACCUCGAUGUUGGAUUAAAAUUAAUUUUUGGUGUAGAGGCUAAAAAAUUAGGUCUGUUCGACCUUUAAAAUUUUACAUGAUCUGAGUUUAAACCGGUGUGAGCCAGGUUGGUUUCUAUCUUUAUAAUAGAUUUAUAUUUUAGUACGAAAGGACCAAUUAUAGAUAAAAUUUAUUUUAUAAGAAUUAGAUU